AGCGCGUUACAAAUAUUUUAAUAGGCCUCUCUUUUUUUUUAUCUCCCUCUCGUCACUAGGGGGUGCUGCAGCACCCCCAGCACCCCCACUUCCCGCGGCCAUGCUGUAUCAACAACACUGCGCACAAGAUUUUUUUUAUUUUUUUUUGCAUGUAUUUGAAUGGUUUUCAGUGUACUUCUAUUCAAAGUUAUCAUUAUUAAUCUUAUUAUGAUUACAAAACGGAAUUAAUUAUUUUAGUAAAAAAAAAAAAAAAGUAACUGGCAAACCAUUUUUUAAUUCUCGCGACCCAACACAUUCAAACACAUUCAACUUACAUUGAAAGAUUUCAAGCCAGAUGUAGUAAGACACACUCGAGUUUCACAAGAAUCCUCGUAUAAUCCUGAGGGAGUUGACUCUGCAGUUGAAGCAGACAGUGCAUGUUCAAAUAGUGAUGUAGAGGUAACCACUUAUUUGCCUGAAGUAAUUGAGAAUAAUUUUGCAGCAGCGUUGCUCAAGUUAGAGCAUUUUGCACAUGUCCCAGGCAAAAAAAUGUAUGAGUUCUUAGAGGAACUGCACUACUUACAUUCAGCAACAUUACGCCUCUCCAUUGAGAUUCUUGAAGAGGUAUUUCAGAAACAUAGUCCUACAACUGAUAAGUCUGCGGUAACAGAAGUAGCAACUGCUCUCUGCACUUCUAAUCCAUUGCUCAAAGCCAUAGAGAAGGGGGGUCCCCUAAACUCAACUUAUCUCCACAACAAGUAUUAUCAAGAAAGCUUUAACGUUGUAGAACCCAUUGAAUAGGUUCUUUAUGCCAAAGAAAACAGAUGUUUUCAGUAUGUUCCUGUACUGAAGUUGUGGGUAGAUAAAAACCACAGAGAACAACAGAGUAAAAUGGCGAGUGGUGAACAUCACACUUACAAAUCUCCUCAGGAUGGUUCACACUUCCAGCAAAACAUUUUUCUGUUAGGAGAUGAGAUGAGGAAAUUGUAACGUUUAUACAUAGAUGAUUUUGAAGUUUGCAAUCCUCUGGGUACUUCUCGCAGGAAACAUCAACUUUGUGGAAUCUACUGGACUCUGAGUAAUUUGCCUCCAGGCUCACAUUCAUCACUAUCAUCAAUUUACUUGGCAUUGUUGUGUAAAACUGAUGAUGUAAAUAAGUAUGGUUAUGACCAUGUCUUAUAUCCUCUUCUUCAAGGCAUGAAAACUCUGGAGCUAGACUAUUACUUGGCAGAUUUGUUAAAGGUACGAUUCAUGUUGUUGCGGAGGAUAAUUUGGGGGCUCACAGUAUUGCAGGUUUUAAUGAGAGCUUUUCUAGUGGGUAUAUCUGUCGAUUUUGCACAGGAACAAAAACAGAAAUCCAAACAAAAGAGGACAAAUCAGGUGCAUUCAUGGACAAAAGUUGUGUUAUCACCAAAACGCUUGCCCACUUCAGCGUUCAGACAGGCUAUCCUCCAGAUAUUAUGCAUGAUCUGGCAUAGUUCCAGUGGAGCUUGCACGGUGUUUGGCAUUGCUUAUAUCCAAGAAGUAUUUCACACUUCAGACCCUCAACAAAUCCAUCCAGCACUUCCCUUACAAGUGGGCAGACAAGACAAAUAGGCCACAUGUAAUCAUCAGCUCAUGAUUUCAUAUCACUUGAGAUCAUCCAGUUUUGAAGAAACAUCCCUCGAGGUUACAAACGUUUCAACACUCCCUCUGGAUUUUUUGAAACCAGAAAUAGCUUUCAGACUAUUGAAAAGAACUUCCCUGGUACAACUGAAGUUCACCUUUCCAAGUGUGUGUCAAGCAAAGGUUUACAUUUCAGAAAUGGGAUGAUAGUUGCUCAUGGUUCUACAAGUUGACUCCCUGACAUUGGAGAGAUUUGUGUUGUUAAGGAGAGACUGUGUUUCAUGGUGAGAAGGCUUUCUGGGUGGUAUAGGGAACAUUUCAGAGCGUUUGAGCUGAGUGUACAUCCUUCCAGAGAAACUGUUUGAUUGAACUUGGUGAACUGGCUGAUCACUACCCUUUGGCAGACUACUUUGUUGGACCUCUAAGACUGGUGACAUUAAAAAGAUACAUAAACUUAAGGUUUGUUUACUUUAAUAUUGAAUGAAUCUCAAUGGACUUAUUUCAGGGAAGUGUGACUUCACAAUGCCACAUUUAUUUCCCAGCUCUUUAUUUUGAUUUCAUAUAUUCAAAUGAAUGGAUCAUAAGUGGUACAGAUUCAGACCAAAGCAACUUGUCUUCUCCUGAGUCCACCUGCUCAAGAUCCACUGCUUGGCCCAUUGUUUUCCCCAUUCCCCGGUUUGCUAAUGAUACUCAGCUACAGCUGGACAGAAAAUGCUAAAUGCUGCUUUUAAAGAAACUGGAGCUUAGUUGAAUCCUAAUACUAAACUUAAUCUGCUAUUCUUGAUGGCUUAGCUGAAACGCUCAUCAAGUACAAAGUGUACCUCUCUGACGGGGAGGUUGAUGAGGUAGCAGAAGCUCUGGUAACUACACAUCCAUGUUUAAAAGAGCCAUGUUCAGUGUCUGGGUAUGGCGGAUGGAAGACAAGCCUGAAGUAUAAACUUGCUAACUACAGAACAAAACUCCGACGGCUUGGAUGCCCAGAAGUUACUGUGAAUGCCUUAACACACAAACCUGAGAGCAAAUGCAGUCCAGCAUAUGGUGUAAAGAAACCAAAAAAAGCCGAAGUGAAUUACCUAUCCGGCCGAUGAAACAGCAGAGACACUAGAAGAGAUAAGAGUGGCACUCCUCUCAGAUGUAAAUAAGAGACACAAUGAGCACAAGUUGGCAGCAAUGAUGGACAAGACCUUUGCACUAAGAAGGCAAGAGGUAGUUGCGGAGGCACCCAUGAUAGCUGAUUUCAAAAUGAGGUGGCCAGCUCUUUCAAUGUGCGUGAGGUACAGUAAGUGAAUGACUGGACUGGAUGUGUCACAAUACAUGUUGACAGGAUCUGAGGUGACUCAAACUGAUGAGGAUUUACUGAAGACAUGCAAUAGCAGCCUUUGCUGGCCUUCUGACAAGGGAAACUAAUAUUUAGAUCAUGUAUUAUGCAUUAACGUUUCUUGAACAGAUAGAACUGCUAUUUCAAGCAUGUACCAAAAAGGUAACUGAGUUUUGUCUACAGUUUUUGUUAUGUUUUUUGUAUGUGAGUGCAGAGUUUAAGAGAAUCACAACAAAUCAUUUCAGUCAAAGUUCUUCUCCGAGCUUGAUGUUCACUCUGGAAACCUGAUGAAGGCGUAUGCCAAGAAAGGUGGAGUUCAAGGGAGAAAAAUCAAGACCAACAUGGCACCCAUAACCCAGUUGGGGGUGCCAACAUCAGUCUGAAGAAGGAUUGGUUAGAGCGAUGUGAUCGAAUCUACUACUACUGCCUUGAUUUCGCUGGUACUCUGUAAUGCUGCUUGAGUUAAUAGAGAGUAAUGGAGGAUUUAGUUCAGAUCAGUGCUGAUAUGGAUGUCGAAGUUGAGGUAGCAGUGCUAGUUCAAGAAAUCCUCCGCCAACUUCACAUUCUCUCUGAGACAGAGGAAGCGACAACUGGACGGCCAUCGUACCUUUUACCACCUGAUAUAAUUGAAGCUCACCUCCUUUUGGGGCACACUGCUGGAGAAAUGGAGUGUGCGAGAGAACAGUUCGUCGAAGGAUGACACAAUAUGGCAUAAGACUUCUGACAUAGGAAAAACAGAGAUACACAUUAGACCUUCUGAAAAAGGAGAAAUCAAAUCACCUGGAGUAACGUUAGUUAACACCAGCUGUCCCAGCAGCCUUUCCUGGAUGAUGGCAGCUCCCGCCAAAACGCGAGGCGCGCAGGGCGCAUACCAGCCAGCAAAGCGCUCACUGUCUAUAGAAAACUAGUGAAAAAGUCUAUUAACUCCACUGAACGACAACGAUCUGGAUCAAACUGUGAUCCAAAUUCUGCAGCAUCAUCCCAACUGUGGUUACCAAAUGAUGUUGGGGCACCUCAGUGCUCAAGGCAUCCGCAUACAGAGACAAUGUGUGCAGGAAUCGAUGCGGCGUGUGGAUUCUCAGGGAGUUUUGAUGCGCACCCUUCAAUUAAACCCUCGAAGGCGCAGGAGGUACUCUGUACCAGCGCCAAACAGUUUGUGGCACAUCGACGGAAAUCACAAGUUAAUAAGAUGGCAAAUUGUUGUACAUGGUGUUAUUGACGGCUUUAGUCGUCUCAUUGUGCACCUGAGUGCUGCCACCAACAAUCGCGCAGUAACAGUCCUGAGAAGCUUUCUGGAAGCCGUUGAUGUCUAUGGUGUGCCAUCUUCUGUGAGGUCGGAUAAAGGAGGGGAAAAUGUUGAAGUUGCACGCUACAUGGUGGCAAACAGAGGACUUGACAGGAAUGGCAGGAGUGUCCAUAAUCAAAGAAUAGAGAGACUCUGGAGAGAGUGCUUGAUCUCUUCUGCAGCAUCUUUAACAAACAAGAGAGAAGGGCUUCUAAAUCCUGACAGCGAAGUUCAUGUGUUUGCUCUACAUUGGUGCUUUCUGCCUCACGUUCAGAAGCACCUUGAGGUUUUCCAGCGUGGCUGGACUGCCACCGACUGAGCACUGAAGGAAAUCAGUCCCCACUUCAGCUGUGGUCUCGCCAUAAACAUGAGGCACAGCAGGACCCCAUGCAGGUUGUCAUGGACUAUGGAGUUGGUUAUUGAUGUUGUGUUCCCUGAAGUUCAGCUACAGCGCUCGCUGACAGAGCAUGAAAUACAAAGACUACCGAAACCUGAUGGCCCUCUGUCCAAUGUGUUGGAUGUCUACAUACAAACUGUGAGCCAGUUAUCAGAAAUGCUCCUGUAAAUUCCAGAUUCAAAAGCUGUAAGAUGCAGAAGGAUUAACCUAAAAAAAUGUCACGGAGUGACUUUGAGAGCGGAACCAAAAGUGAGAGGAGGAGUUCCGCCCAGACCAAAAUGUGUAAGCCCUUGUCUCUUUUGGAAACUCCGGACGCCCUAAAUCAAGGAACGCCACGAGUGAGACGGAGUGUUUUGGGCGCUGGAGCAGGGUGAAGCAGAUGAGAGCAAGUGUGGAGUCGCUAAGCGAAUUGGAGGAUUUAAAUACGGCUACUGGAACAGGUUUGCCAAAGGGAAGUUUUGUGGAAAGAAGCCAUACUCACCCGUGUCUAUUGUAUAAAGGUCCCGCAGGAAAAUAGCGCUACUGUGGAACGACGAUAACACUUCCGGGUGUCUGUAAGAAGCUGGGGAGAGAAAGAGAGCGGGUGAAGAUCAGUAUCACGAAGACUGUGAGUACAUUGGAUUGUUCACAUAUCAUUGUUCAUACUUGGAUAUGGAUGAUUAAUAUCUGCUGGAGUGAUUAACAGCUUGUUGAGCGGCCCCAUCGUGGAGGACGAGAUGAGUGGGUGAGCCGUAGGAAAGUGGGGGUGAACGGAUGUUAUUUGGCUGUGGCUACACCGCAAAGUUUGGAGCACUUACCGUGCCAGCGACUGUAAACUCCUCCAGGACGAAAUCCGACCGGGUGUGGAGUACCGACCUUAAAAAUCACUGAAGUGUGUGUAGUGCAGUGGGAGAAGGGAAGGGUGCCACGGGAAAUCAAGCCGCGAAGGAAGGACUUAGGAUCAGUCAGGAGAUUGGUGGGAGCUCUGUGAAAGGACGUGAGAGCCCUUGCCCCCCCUCCCCUUGUGACCACUUACCAACGUCCUCCAGAUUUCUCAGGCCCAGUCCCCUCCUAUCAAGAGACGAAAAUCCAAUUUUAGAUUCCCCUUUCUCCUUCCCUAAA